rnacentral:rRNA from 1 species
UACGGAGGGUGCGAGCGUUGUCCGGAAUCAUUGGGCGUAAAGGGUGCGUAGGCGGCGCGGUAAGUCGGGUGUGAAAUCUCGGGGCUUAACUCCGAAACUGCAUUCGAUACUGCCGUGCUUGAGGACUGGAGAGGAGACUGGAAUUUACGGUGUAGCGGUGAAAUGCGUAGAUAUCGUAAGGAAGACCAGUGGCGAAGGCGGGGUCUCUGGACAGUUCCUGACGCUGAGGCACGAAGGUCAGGGGAGCAAACGGG